rnacentral:rRNA from 1 species
GAUUUACUGGGGCGUAAAGGGUGCGUAGGCGGUUGUAUAAGUGGAAAUGUGAAAGCCCUGGGCUCAACCUAGGAAGUGCAUACCAUACUAUACGGCUGGAGUAUAUGAGAGGGUGGCGGAAUUUUCCGGUGUAGCGGUGAAAUGCGUAGAGAUCGGAAGGAACGUCAAUGGCGAAGGCAGCCACCUGGCAUAAUACUGACGCUGAGGCACGAAAGCGUGGGGAGCAAACAGGAUUAGAUACCCUGGUAGUCCACGCUGUAAACGAUGAGGACUCGAUGUUGGUAGGGGAACCUAUCAGUAUCAAAGCUAACGCGAUAAGUCUUCCGCCUGGGAAGUACGGCCGCAAGGUUGAAACUCAAAUGAAUUGACGGGGGCCCGCACAAGCGGUGGAGCAUGUGGUUUAAUUCGAUGCAACGCGAAGAACCUUACCUACCCUUGACAUCCUGCGAAUCCCGAUGAGAGUUGGGAGUGCCGAAAGGAGCGCAGAGACAGGUGCUGCAUGGCUGUCGUCAGCUCGUGUUGUGAGAUGUUGGGUUAAGUCCCGUAACGAGCGCAACCCUUGUCCUUAGUUGCCAGCAAGUAAUGUUGGGGACUCUAAGGAGACUGCCGGUGAUGAACCGGAGGAAGGCGGGGACGACGUCAAGUCAUCAUGGCCUUUAUGGGUAGGGCCACACACGUGCUACAAUGGGGCGUACAGAGGGUAGCCAACCCGCGAGGGGGAGCCAAUCUCAUAAAGCGUCUCGUAGUCCGGAUUGGAGUCUGCAACUCGACUCCAUGAAGUUGGAAUCGCUAGUAAUCGCGAAUCAGCAUUGUCGCGGUGAAUACGUUCCCGGGCCUUGUACACACCGCCCGUCACGUCAUGGAAGUGGAUGGUACCAGAAGCGGGUAGUUUAACCGAAAGGGGAACGCUUGCCACGGUAUGAUUCAUGACUGGGACGAAGUCGUAACAAGGUAGCCGUUGGGGAAACCAGUGGCUGGAUCACCUCCUUCU